UUUCGUCUAUAAGAGUAUGUACUUGUAUUUUGUCUUAUGAUUUUUCAGUACUACUAGGUAUAUUCUAUAAUAUAUAAAUUAAAUAUAUGAAAAAGUAGGAUGUGUUCUUUAAACUCUAAUGUGAAUGAAUGUGAGCCGGCAGAAGAAGUAGUAAUUUGUGAUACAGAAGAGUAUCAGACGGAACCAUUAAGGUAAAUUUAUUACUUUUCUUUAAGUACCUACAUAAUCUCAAAAAAGCAAGAUACAGAUUUCUUUCAUAAUAAUAUUUCCAACACCGCAUGGACAUGAUUUAAGUGAUUACAAAAUGCUGGGAUUUAGAUAAGAUGGAUGGUACUAAUGUAUCCAUACAAGAUGUUCUAUAUUGUUCGAAUAUUGAAAAAUAAAAUAAAUUUCUAAAAAUUAAAACACUAAAUUGAUAGAUCUAUCUUUAAAGAUCUGCUUGGAAAUUAUGUCUGAAGUUUUUAAGAGAUAAAUACUAAAUGUAUUUAAGUAUACAUAAAUCAAAUAAAAACUUAUUUUAUUCACCCAUGUUUAAUUAUUGGUAUUUUCACUUUCAUAAUUAAUUACAUAAGUAGGUAUUACUCAAAUAGUAGAAAGAGACCAGGGUAAGGUGGGAGGUGACAAAUAAUUGUUUUAAUACUCAAAUAUUACGGAAGUAUUACUUGGAUACACCUCAGUAUUACUCAAAUAUUACUGAAGCUUGGACACUCCUGCAGUUUUCUCCUCGGUAUUUUCAAAAUGAAGUACACGAUGAAUACAGGCUUAUGCUCAUAUGCCAAUGCAGAGCCUUUAUAAAUGUUUACAAGCCAUGUGACCGCCGAUCUUAGGCAACUCAACAUUGUAUGACUGGUACUAGGAGAACGAACAAUCCCCAAAUCUUGAAAUCACCACUAUUAAUGAUUCGUUUACAAUGAAUAGUAACCAUAGACUACCUAGACUGAACUAUAGAGUGAUUAAGGUGAAGGCAGUUGUUGGCCUGAUGGUGGCCUGGCACAAGCGCAGCAGGCAAUCGUGUCUAGUGUACACUUUGCUUUGAUUCCAAUAAUUAGUUACUUUACCAUGGACAAAUGUAUUGUAGAACAUUAUAUAAAUAGAAUAGAAUAGAACAAGUUGAUGAAGAGAGUCGAAAAAUUUUCUUCUUUAGAUACCCAAAGGAUAAAACGAAGAUGGGUGAAAGCUAUAAAAAACAGGAUUGGAUACCAUCAAAUUUAUAAAGUACUUAUGUUCUAAUCAUUUGAAGAAAAAUUUUUUAUUUUUAAUAAAAAUGGAGUCCGCAAAUUAGCAAGAAAACACAGUUCCCACAUUAAAUCUACCAGAAAUAUUGUUCAAUUGAAGGCACUCAAACAAUUGAUAUAAAUUCAAGUGAAGUUGAAGUAUCAACAGAUUUUGAAGUUUUUUGUGAACAUGAACCGUCGCAAUCUUUGGAUUCUUUUAAGCCACCUAUCAGCCCACCUACUACAUCGCAGUCAUGAUAUUCUGAUCUAAGUCCUACAUCUUCGAUGUCAGCUUUGAGUAUCUUGGACAAUGAAAAAUACAAAGAGGAUAAUAUAAACAUUUCUAGUGAUGAUACCCCAAGAAAGAAGAAACUAAAGUAUGAAGUUGGGCUUCCCAAAAAACAAAAAAAAAAUGAUAACCUGCCUUUAGCAAAAUAAACGUAAAAAGAAAAUUGAUAAUUUACAAAACAGAAUUUCUGGAUUCCAAACUUGAAAUAUGAAUAUUUGUCAUAAGUAAAUAAAAAAUUACACCAAUCGUUAGCCGGUGGAACAGAA